rnacentral:lncRNA from 1 species
GGGAGCCCGCGCCGCAGGGAUGAGGCCGAGGUGGCGCGGCCCAGAAGUGGCAGGCACGGCCCGGCGGCGGCGCGGCCCCGUUCCAGGGGCUCGGCAGGGCACGGCCGUGAGGAUUUACACUCGGCGGGACUGACUGCCGAGCCCCUCGCUCACACAGGCGGCCGUGGCCUCUACAAAUCCGUAACGAGCCCCCGGUACGCCGCUCCCAGCGUCUGCCGUGGGCUAUUUUAGGCUAUGCUGCCCUAAAUCCAUAGGCCUGUAACGCAGAAAUGACUCACGGAUUUUAAAGAGGAAUGCUACCACAAAGUAAACAGGGCCAGCAUUUUCCCUGUCCUCAGAAGACCUCAAGAAAGCGUUCUGAGUGCUUAUUCAAGCAGCAUCGGCAGAGGCAGAGGAUUGUUGCUGCAGCUGGUACACACAGUGAUCCUAAGGGAGAAGACCACUUACGGAAAUUAUCACAGAAUACGCUGAGUUGGAAGGGAUCCACAAGGAUCAUCAAAGUGCAACCCCUGGCCCUGCACAGGACAUCCUCGAGGACCACACCACAUGCCUGAUGAGAGCGUUGUCCAAAGGCCUCUUGAAUUCUGCCAGACCUGGUGCCGUGACCACUUUCCUGGGGAGCCCUUUCCAGUGCCCGACCACCCUCUGGCUGAAGAAACUACUGCACUGUGAAAAGUGCAAUUAUAUUGCUCUACACAGAUAUUUACUAUAUGUAUUUUGCUGUAUUGAUUAGUAGUGCUGUAUUAACAUUUUAAUAAUAUGAUAAAUGUAGUCUUGUAGUUAAAAGGUAACUUUUGUAGUUAAAAUAAGAACUAUGAGAGGUUUUCUUAAAGAAAGGAAUGAAGCACUCGCACCAGAUAGCAGCCACAAGAAACCUAAAUCUUUCAGAGAAAAAGGAAUUUAUUGUUCUCUUAUCAGAAGAAACUGAAUUCUUCCUGCCUAGCUAAAGAUCGAAGGUGCCUUAGGAUUACGAAGAAGUUGACACUGACCAGACAGAAUCCUUUGUUUGAAUAGAAUUUAUGCAUCAUGUCAGAAGUGCAUGAAUAUGCAACAGACUAUUGUUUUUAAGGAUUGAUCCUCUGUUAUCGUGUGUCCUUUUUCGGGCUGCGCUGCCCAGAAAAAGGUACCCGAACAUCCGUAACUCUUUGUCUCUAUUGUCCCAUAUUGUCCUAAUUCAAAUUGUCCAAAUUAUUAUUACUAUUACUAUAUGCAGUACUAUAGUAUACUAUUGUAUUACUAUUUUUAUAACCAUUUUAUUGCUAUUAAGCUUUUUAAAAAAUUU